ACUCCUACGGGAGGCAGCAGUGGGGAAUAUUGCACAAUGGGGAAACCCUGAUGCAGCCAUGCCGCGUGUGUGAAGAAGGCCUUCGGUUGUAAAGCACUUUCAGUAGGGAGGAAGGUAGUGUAGUUAACACCUGCAUUAUUUGACGUUACCUACAGAAGAAGCACCGGCUAACUCCGUGCCAGCAGCCGCGGUAAUACGGAGGGUGCGAGCGUUAAUCGGAAUUACUGGGCGUAAAGCGCAUGCAGGCGGCCUGUUAAGUCAGAUGUGAAAGCCCGGGGCUUAACCUCGGAAUUGCAUUUGAAACUGGCAGGCUAGAGUCUUGUAGAGGGGGGUAG
rnacentral:rRNA from 1 species